rnacentral:rRNA from 1 species
CGAUGAGCGCUAAGUGUGGAGGGUUUCCCCCCUUCAAUGCUGCAGCAAACGCAUUAAGCACUCCGCCUGGGGAGUACGACCGCAAGGUUGAAACUCAAAGGAAUUGACGGGGGCCCGCACAAGCGGUGGAGCAUGUGGUUUAAUUCGAAGCAACGCGAAGAACCUUACCAGGUCUUGACAUCCUUUGACCACUCUAGAGAUAGAGCUUCCCCUUCGGGGGCAAAGUGACAGGUGGUGCAUGGUUGUCGUCAGCUCGUGUCGUGAGAUGUUGGGUUAAGUCCCGCAACGAGCGCAACCCUUAUUGUUAGUUGCCAUCAUUUAGUUGGGCACUCUAGCGAGACUGCCGGUGACAAACCGGAGGAAGGUGGGGAUGACGUCAAAUCAUCAUGCCCCUUAUGACCUGGGCUACACACGUGCUACAAUGGGAAGUACAACGAGUUGCGAAGUCGCGAGGCUAAGCUAAUCUCUUAAAGCUUCUCUCAGUUCGGAUUGUAGGCUGCAACUCGCCUACAUGAAGCCGGAAUCGCUAGUAAUCGCGGAUCAGCACGCCGCGGUGAAUACGUUCCCGGGCCUUGUACACACCGCCCGUCACACCACGAGAGUUUGUAACACACAAGAAGUCGGUGAGGUAACCUUUUGGAGCCAGCCGCCUAAGGUGGGAUAGAUGAUUGGG